rnacentral:rRNA from 1 species
UAGGGAAUCUUCGGCAAUGGGGGGAACCCUGACCGAGCAACGCCGCGUGAGUGAAGAAGGUUUUCGGAUCGUAAAGCUCUGUUGUUAAGGAAGAACGAGUGUGAGAAUGGAAAGUUCAUGCUGUGACGGUACUUAACCAGAAAGGGACGGCUAACUACGUGCCAGCAGCCGCGGUAAUACGUAGGUCCCGAGCGUUGUCCGGAUUUAUUGGGCGUAAAGCGAGCGCAGGCGGUUAGAAAAGUCUGAAGUGAAAGGCAGUGGCUCAACCAUUGUAGGCUUUGGAAACUGUUUAACUUGAGUGCAGAAGGGGAGAGUGGAAUUCCAUGUGUAGCGGUAAAAUGCGUAGAUAUAUGGAGGAACACCGGUGGCGAAAGCGGCUCUCUGGUCUGUAACGGACGCUGAGGCUCGAAAGCGUGGGGAGCGAACAGG